rnacentral:misc_RNA from 1 species
UUAUUCUACGAAUUUUUUUCUCGGGAAAGUCCACAGAUGUUGAAUUCCCUUCAGUGUAAUAUUGAUCGCUUAAUCAUUGUCUCCCUCUCGGGGUAGGUGUCCUGCGAGUAUAUCUAUCACGCUAUGUGCUACCUUCUACUCCGUUUAUACAUACUUACAUAAUUUCCGUUGGCGAAAAACUGACACAAUUGUAUAUAAUGUUACAUGAAUAUAUAAUACGCAAUUGUUUCUUUGAGAGAAAGAGUUUCAAAAAUUGUCACAGAAUGUUUUAUAGUCCAACGAAACUCCAUAAACUGAGGAUAGCUUGUAAAAUGAAGAUCUCUGUAAAGGAACGAUAUUUUAGCUUCAAUCGAAUUACACUACUCAUUGUUGGCUUAUGGCCUUAUCAACAAUCAGGUCUUGCUCGAUUUCUGAGAACACUCUGUCUUAGUAUUUUGAUGAGCGUCGUUGCAUUAAUGCUUUCAAGGCUUUGCUUUGCACAAUAUAGCUUUGAAUUUAUUAUUAAUCAGCUUUGUUUUUCAACAUGUUAUACUUUUUAUGCGAUUCUGUAUAUCGCAUUUUGGCUUAACAGAGAAGCUAUAAGAUAUUUAUUGGAGCAAUUACAAUACAUUUACAAUAGGCUAAAUGAUGAGAAUGAAAUUGCUAUCUAUGAUAAAUACGGGAACAUUGGAAAACGAAUAACGAUCGCCUGUAUAAUAAUUGCAGUGUGCAAUCAGUUUGUUGUUGUUGCAAUGCAAUGUUGGCCGUACAUUUUUUAUGUGAUUCUGCCCGAAAACGGGACUUAUGCGGGCCACUUGUUAGUAGUUGUGAGCAAAUAUUUCGCGGUACAAGAAAAAUAUUCUUAUUUAGUUCUACUGCAUAUAAACAUCGCUAUUUCUGUAGGAGCAUUUAUAUUCUUAGCAGUAGGAACAAUGAUGUUAUCAUGUUUCAAACAUAUCUGUGGAAUGUUCAGAAUUGCUAGCUACCGUUUUGAACAAGCAAUAACGACUACUACGUUACAAAGUAUUACCUUAAAAAAUAAAACUAUGAUGUACAAGGAGUUAAUCUGUGCCGUUGACAUUCAUCGCAAAGCUACAGAGUUUAUCAAAUUCCUUGUAAGUAGCGUGGAUCGGUCACUUUUCGUUGUCGUAAUAGUUACUGUGCUUUGCGUGAGUUUCAAUCUUUAUGGAAUAUUUCACAUUGAACCAGAUAAGCAGGAAAUAGAAGUAACAUUGUCUCAUCUUAUUAUUUUAUGUUUCGUUUUUGCAUACAUGUUUUUAGCCAACUAUGCCGGACAGGAAAUUAUGGAUUAUAAUAAUCAUGUAUUUCUUACCGUGUACAAUGCUCCAUGGUACCUAGCACCGUUGGAGAUACAGAAGUUGAUCUUGAUCUUAUUACAAAGAAGUAACAAAGCUUUCACGUUGAGUAUCGGUGGAUUAUUCACAUUAUCUCUAGAAUGCUUUGCUUCGCUAGCAAGUGCAUCAAUAUCUUACUUCACUCUUAUGCUAUCUUUGUAAUAAUUACGAAAAUACAAUAUCUAAUAAUAUCAUAUAUUUGUAACGAUACACAUUUUGUAAUCUGUCACCGACUGGGAACUCCGCCGCUGUUAGGUGGGAAAAGGGCGCACCACGCCCACAAAGAAUACCGAAAAAUAAAUCAAGCCGAACAGUCCCGGAAACCAAGGAGGCACAUACGUUCAGUUAAACUUUUAAAAAACGAAUUGUCCAAUUAAAAUACUCCUACGCUUAACUGAAGACAAUAUUAUUAUAUACAUUCUGUCCGAAUUAUAAGUCAUUUGGGUACAAAUUGGCCAAGAUACGUGGACGGCCAGCUACGAGAAUGUAGUUUUGAGAAAAACGGAAAAAAGAGAAGAAAGUAAAAAAAAGGUUUAAAAUCAAUUAUGUUACAUAGAAUAGUUGAAUUUCUUGUAACAAACCAAAGUAGGUCCAAUCCAAGUAAGUAUAAGGAACCUUCUCCUACAGUGGCAGUUUCUUCGGUUUCGCUGCUGCAUUUUUUCAACACUCUACUCUCUACGCGACGCCUCUUGAGGUCGGAUCUCGGCAGCGGAAAUUCAGUACUCGUCCUAGCGGCCUCGAUACUGUGCUGCUGUCAAUCCAGUUUUUUAUAUUCUCAUAUAUCAAAAUUCUAGUCCUUCCUGGCAAUAGUGACUUUGGUCACUAGAACUAUUAUGAUUCAGAGUGGCUCAAAUUGUUUAAUAUUUCAUCCACAGAAUUCUAAUGUUUGCGAAUGAUUAGCCCAUUAUAAAAGUACUCAGUUCAAUUAUAAUAACUUUCCAACAA